rnacentral:rRNA from 1 species
CCUACGGGCGGCUGCAGUGGGGAAUAUUGGACAAUGGGGGCAACCCUGAUCCAGCCAUGCCGCGUGUGUGAAGAAGGCCCUCGGGUUGUAAAGCACUUUCAGUGAGGAAGAACGCCUGGUGGUUAAUACCCAUCAGGAAAGACAUCACUCACAGAAGAAGCACCGGCUAACUCCGUGCCAGCAGCCGCGGUAAUACGGGGGGUGCGAGCGUUAAUCGGAAUUACUGGGCGUAAAGCGCGCGUAGGUGGCUUGAUAAGCCGGUUGUGAAAGCCCCGGGCUCAACCUGGGAACGGCAUCCGGAACUGUCAAGCUAGAGUGCAGGAGAGGAAGGUAGAAUUCCCGGUGUAGCGGUGAAAUGCGUAGAGAUCGGGAGGAAUACCAGUGGCGAAGGCGGCCUUCUGGACUGACACUGACACUGAGGUGCGAAAGCGUGGGUAGCAAACAGGAUUAGAUACCCUAGUAGUC